rnacentral:misc_RNA from 1 species
GAUGAAGAACGUAGCGAAAUGCGAUAAGUAGUGUGAAUUGCAGAAUUCAGUGAAUCAUCGAAUCUUUGAACGCACAUUGCGCCCUUCGGUAUUCCGUUGGGCAUGCCUGUCCGAGCGUCAUUGCUGCCCUCAAGCACGGCUUGUGUGUUGGGCCUCCGUCCUCCUCCCGGGGGACGGGCCCGAAAGGCAGCGGCGGCACCGCGUCCGGUCCUCGAGCGUAUGGGGCUUCGUCACCCGCUCUUGUAGGCCCGGCCGGCGCUUGCCGACACAUCAAUCUUUUUUCCAGGUUGACCUCGGAUCAGGUAGGGAUACCCGCUGAACUUAAGCAUAUCAAUAAGCGGAGGA